CGUAGGUGGCAAGCGUUGUCCGGAUUUAUUGGGUUUAAAGGGUGCGUAGGCGGUCUGUUAAGUCAGUGGUGAAAUAUGGCAGCUUAACUGUCAGGGUGCCAUUGAUACUGAUGGACUUGAGUGAAGUCGAAGUAGGCGGAAUUGACGGUGUAGCGGUGAAAUGCUUAGAUAUCGUCAAGAACACCGAUAGUGAAGACAGCUUACUAGGCUUAUACUGACGCUGAGGCACGAAAGUGUGGGGAUCAAACAGGAUUAGAUACCCUGGUAGUCCACACUGUAAACGUUGAUGACUCGCUGUUGGCGAUAUACAGCCAGCGGCCAAGCGCAAGCGAUAAGUCAUCCACCUGGGGAGUACGCCGGCAACGGUG
rnacentral:rRNA from 1 species